AGUGAACGCUGGCGGUAGGCCUAACACAUGCAAGUCGAACGGCAGCACAGUAAGAGCUUGCUCUUACGGGUGGCGAGUGGCGGACGGGUGAGGAAUACAUCGGAAUCUACUUUUUCGGGGGGGAUAACGUAGGGAAACUUACGCUAAUACCGCAUACGACCUACGGGUGAAAGCAGGGGAUCUUCGGACCUUGCGCGAUUGAAUGAGCCGAUGUCGGAUUAGCUAGUUGGCGGGGUAAAGGCCAACCAAGGCGACGAUCCGUAGCUGGUCUGAGAGGAUGGUCGGCCACAUUGGAACGGAACCACGGUCCAGACUCCUACGGGAGGCAGCAGUGGGGAAUAUUGGACAGUGGUCGCAAGCCUGAUCCAGCCAUACCGCGUGGGUUAAGAAGGCCUUCGGGUUGUAAAGCCCUUUUGUUGGGAAAGAAAAGCAUCAGGUUAAUACCCCGCUGUUCUGACGGUACCCAAAGAAUAAGCACCGGCUAACUUCGUG
rnacentral:rRNA from 1 species